GCGUCAGUAGUGUAAUGGCGUAGAGCACUUCUCUCAGUUAGCAAGAGGUGCGGGUUUGAGUCCCGCCUGAAGCU
rnacentral:tRNA from 1 species